rnacentral:lncRNA from 1 species
CUUUGAAUGCAGAGCUCAGGGCCUGUCACAGAAUGGGCAAUCAAUAAAUGUUUGCUGAACGAAUGAUGCUUUUCCAGUUCCAAAAUGCAUGAAACACCGUGUUGACCUCACUCCUUUCAUCUUUGAUCAGUCUGCAGUACCACCAGAAUCCUUGUCUGUAACUCUUUUCAUCUCUUUCACUUGUUUUGUGUCUUUGCCUAAAUUUACAUUUUCUCUUUCACAAAUAUAGCUUAAAUUCCAGAAAGUGGGAACAUGUCCUGCCCCAAGUCUGUAUUCACAAAGCCAUGUUUGCCCCUUGUUUGUGUGGAUUAACAUUGUUUCUCUGAAAUCUUUAAAAUGAGAACCAUGCCAGUGUUCUAUAAACCGUAAAAUUUAACAUUUUCUUUCUUUUCUUCUUUUAGCCAUACUUCCCAUUGCCUCCAGCUGUUGCACGGAGGUUUCACAUCAUAUUUCCAGAAGGCUCCUGGAAAGAGUGAAUAUGUGUCGCAUCCAGAGAGCUGAUGGGGAUUGUGACUUGGCUGCUGUCAUCCUUCAUGUCAAGCGCAGAAGAAUCUGUGUCAGCCCGCACAACCAUACUGUUAAGCAGUGGAUGAAAGUGCAAGCUGCCAAGAAAAAUGGUAAAGGAAAUGUUUGCCACAGGAAGAAACACCAUGGCAAGAGGAACAGUAACAGGGCACAUCAGGGGAAACACGAAACAUACGGCCAUAAAACUCCUUAUUAGAGAGUCUACAGAUAAAUCUACAGAGACAAUUCCUCAAGUGGACUUGGCCAUGAUUGGUUGUAAGUUUAUCAUCUGAAUUCUCCUUAUUGUAGACAACAGAACAAAACAAAAUAUUGGUUUUUAAAAAAUGAACAAUUGUGCGGUAUGCAAAUGUAGCCAAUAAUAUACUCAACUGGAAAAUGAAAUGAAAAGAUAAUACUGGCUGGGUAUGGUGGUUCACACCUUUUAUCCCAGCACUUCGGGAGGCUGAGGCAGGAGGAUCACUUGAGACCAGGAGUUUGAGACCAGCCUGGGCAACAUAGCAAGACCUCAUUUCUACAAAC